rnacentral:lncRNA from 1 species
AACACUAUAGUGGCCGCUAUAGGGUAAAUAACAGCGGGGGCGGAGCGGUUCCCGACCCAGAGCGGUUUUUGUCUCUCUACUCUUUUUCCCCUCUGAAAAACCAAAAUUACCCCUUAAAUUUAAAACAUUUUAAGGGUCAUUUUGGAUUUUUCAAACAAAUUUGAGUUGAGACUCAACCCUAACCUUCCUUCACCGACAUUUCUGCACUUCAAC